CCUCGCCUACGGGGGGCAGCAGUGAGGAAUAUUGGUCAAUGGCCGAGAGGCUGAACCAGCCACGUCGCGUGAGGGAUGACGGCCCUGCGGGUUGUAAACCUCUUUUGUCGGGGAGCAAAGAGAGUCACGUGUGACUCAUUGAGAGUACCCGAAGAAAAAGCAUCGGCUAACUCCGUGCCAGCAGCCGCGGUAAUACGGAGGAUGCGAGCGUUAUCCGGAUUUAUUGGGUUUAAAGGGUGCGCAGGCGGAGGUGCAAGUCAGCGGUCAAAUUGCGGUGCUCAACCCCUUACUGCCGUUGAAACUGC
rnacentral:rRNA from 1 species